AUUGAACGCUGGCGGCAUGCCUUACACAUGCAAGUCGAACGGCAGCACGGGCUUCGGUCUGGUGGCGAGUGGCGCACGGGUGAGUAAUGUAUCGGAACGUACCUUAGAGUGGGGGAUAACGUAGCGAAAGAUACGCUAAUACCGCAUAUUCUGUGCGCAGGAAAGCAGGGGAUCGCAAGACCUUGUGCUCUUUUAGCGGCCGAUAUAAGAUUAGCUAGUUGGUGAGGUAAAAGCUCACCAAGGCGACGAUCUGUAGCGGGUCUGAGAGGAUGAUCCGCCACACUGGAACUGAGACACGGUCCAGACUCCUACGGGAGGCAGCAGUGGGGAAUUUUGGACAAUGGGGGCAACCCUGAUCCAGCCAUGCCGCGUGAGUGAAGAAGGCCUUCGGGUUGUAAAGCUCUUUCAGCCGGGAAGAAAUCGCAUAGGUUAAUACCCUGUGCGGAUGACGGUACCGGAAUAAGAAGCACCGGCUAACUACGUGCCAGCCGCCGCCGUAAGAC
rnacentral:rRNA from 1 species